AAAAUCUUAAGUGGGACGUUUACCGUUACUCUGUUUAUUUCCCGCUGAGGUAAAUCUGACGGUGACGAUUGGAUGUACAUAUAACGAGUAGAUGGUAGCAGCGAUGCCCAGAGGUAAACAGCAGCAAAGCAAGGUAAAGAUGGAGUAGCACAUGUAAUCUGGUGUUGGAGUGGCUGGCGGUGUGGGGGUCAUGAACACAGUGGGCUGAACUGUGACCCCAGUUUGACCAACAUACGCUGCUUGGGGAUGCACAGGCAUCUCUGGAUAUGACUGAUGGACAUACUGGCCCUGAUGGCCUCCUGGAGCUCCAUACGGUUGGUUUGGAUACCCAUAAGGAUUGGGAUUGACUCUUGGAAUCUGGUAUCCUGCGUUGGGAUAGUACGGAGGUGGCACAGACUGACCCAUCCUUGACUUCUCCAGAUGAUCCUGUUCAUCCUGAGGGUCAGUGAAUGCAAGGUUUAUUCUUCCGACUGGUGGUCCUUGAUUAUACAUUUUCUUGUUCUUCUGUAAGUGUACUAAAUGAUCUUGAUAUUUGUUCUCUUUCGUUUCAGUCUCUGUUGAGAUGCUCCUCGCUGAACACUGGUUUAUCUGCAGACUUUACUGAACCUUGUCCUCUAAUGGUGAUGUGUAGAUUAAUAGCAGUUCAAUGGGAGUUCAAUGUAUCUCCUACAAGCAUCAAACCACCUCCCAUUGAACUGCUAUUUAUCUUUUCAGUGUAUGAUAAUGCUUCAGUUUAUCUGAGUAUUAUUCUAACACAAUGUUUCUGUUUUCUAAAGUUUGCGAAAACUGUAAAUGGCCAUAAAAUGAGUUUGUGUAAA